UUGGAAAAAAUUGAUCCUGGCUCAGAUUGAACGCUGGCGGCAGGCCUAACACAUGCAAGUCGAGCGGAUGAAGGGAGCUUGCUCCUGGAUUCAGCGGCGGACGGGUGAGUAAUGCCUAGGAAUCUGCCUGGUAGUGGGGGAUAACGUCCGGAAACGGGCGCUAAUACCGCAUACGUCCUGAGGGAGAAAGUGGGGGAUCUUCGGACCUCACGCUAUCAGAUGAGCCUAGGUCGGAUUAGCUAGUUGGUGGGGUAAAGGCCUACCAAGGCGACGAUCCGUAACUGGUCUGAGAGGAUGAUCAGUCACACUGGAACUGAGACACGGUCCAGACUCCUACGGGAGGCAGCAGUGGGGAAUAUUGGACAAUGGGCGAAAGCCUGAUCCAGCCAUGCCGCGUGUGUGAAGAAGGUCUUCGGAUUGUAAAGCACUUUAAGUUGGGAGGAAGGGCAGUAAGUUAAUACCUUGCUGUUUUGACGUUACCAACAGAAAAGCACGGCUAUCG
rnacentral:rRNA from 1 species